rnacentral:lncRNA from 1 species
CACCAAAAUAACGACAACAAAUACCAUAACCAAAACUAAAUUCAAGUUAUGUCAUAUAUUUCAUACGCACAGAUAUAAUAUCAACUAUGGACAUGAACACUUGUUCACAAGACCAAUCACGACAGUAAUAACAUUACUCCAAGAUCGGAGUUAACCCGUGUUCAUGAAGAGAGAAAACAAAACAGAACGAAAGGGUGUGGAUUCACACCUUUUCUGGUGAAGCAAACUCGGGCUCAACGUCAAGGAUUUC